UACGAAGGGGGCAAGCGUUGUUCGGAAUUACUGGGCGUAAAGGGCGCGUAGGCGGCUUAUCAAGUCAGGCGUGAAAUUCCCGGGCUCAACCUGGGGGCUGCGCUUGAUACUGAUGAGCUUGAAUGCGGGAGAGGAUAGUGGAAUUCCCAGUGUAGAGGUGAAAUUCGUAGAUAUUGGGAAGAACACCGGUGGCGAAGGCGGUCUGCUGGGCAGUUGCUGACGCUGAUGC
rnacentral:rRNA from 1 species